rnacentral:tRNA from 1 species
UGCCCGAGUGGCGGAAUUGGUAGACGCAAGGGACUUAAAAUCCCUCGGGUAUUUCACCUGUGCCGGUUCGAUUCCGGCCUCGGGCAU